rnacentral:rRNA from 1 species
AACGGCCAUACCAUGCUGAAUAUACCGGUUCUCGUUAGAUCACCGAAGUCAAGCAUCGUUGGGCGCGGUCAGUACUUGGGUGGGUGACCACCUGGGAACACCGCGUGCCGUU